CGGAUGGGACCACCAAAUGUGGACCCCACCAUCCCUGCCCACGUUCUGGGCCCCGCCUCGGUGGAAACCAGCAGAUGAUGAGGGCAGGUGCCCCCAGGCUCACCUGCAGUGUCGCUUGUGCCCCUGAGAUCCUGGCUGCAGACCUCUAAGCCCCAGGGCUCCUGCCUUGCAGUGAUGGCCUUGCCAGAAGCAAGCCCAGGGAGGCCGAGGAGGCCGCCUGCUUGCAGACUGUCGUCCGGCUGUGAGCAGCACGCCGCGGCUCACACCUGCUCUGCACCCACUCUCAGGACAAGGUGAGCCUGCGCGGCACCUCCUUGCCAGGCUGAGCCCUCCUCUCGCCCAGGGCUCUGCCAGCAAGUGUGGCAAGCAUGACCCACCACAGCCCUCCUGAGCUCAAACCUAGUGUGUCCACACUCAUGUGGGGUCUUGGUUGGUACACCAGGGCUGGAACCUAUGUCCUCUUCAUGGAAGCACGGGGUGUGUGUGUAUGUGUAGGCACGUGUCACGCUCUGUCAUAUCCAGUUCUUUGCGACCUCAAGGACUGUAGCCUGAGGCGCCUCUGUCCAAAGGAUUCUCCAAGCAAGAAUACUGGUGUGGGUUGCCAUUUCCUUCUCCAGGGGAUCUUCCUGGACUAGGGAUCGAACCCGCGUCUCCUGCAUUGGAGGUGGAUUCUUUACCAUCUGAGCCACCAGGGAAGCAUUAGCUGCUGGACCACCAGACUGUGCCUCUGCGCCCUGAGGCUGGACAGCCAUGAAGGUCAUGACUGCUGAAGUCACCAGCAACCCAGCUUGGGCAACAGGAGCCUCCCUGGCUUUUGCUGGUGGGGUGACAGCUCUCAGGAAUAUGGCUCAGAAGACUGCAGGAUUCAGGACAACUUCAGCUGCUCAGUGACCUUAUGCGUGGUGUUAAUAGAUAUGAGUUUGGCCCCUGUAGAUCUCACAGCCUGUGCCCUUGCGUACUGGGCUCUGGCGUCCCCUGUUGCCUGUUCCCUGUGCCCCACCAUUCCCCAUCUACGUAGAGGGGACCUGCCCCUGUCUGCCUGGAGUGGUGAUUACAGGGAUCUGGUUUUUCUGGCCUGGCACAGAAAGAUGGCUCAUCUCCAGCUGGUGGCCACACGAAGCUGCGCUGGUUUGAGGGACCUGCUUCCUUAUUCUCAGACCGCUGUACCCCUCAAGUCCUAUGAUUCCACCUCAGAGUCUGGAGCAGUCGGAAGGGAGUUGCUCCCAGGACAUUCCAGUUGCCCCCAGCAGAGUGAGCCUGUUCAGGAAGCAGGGAAGCUCCCCUGGCACUGCCAGCAGACCCUCCAUGGGGCCCUCGGCCAGAGAGGGUCAGUUCCCAGCCCCUGUUUAGUUAGGGCCUAACAAGUUCUGACUCUGCCACCCCAUGUCCAUGGAAUUUUUCAGGCAGAACACUAGAGUGGGUUGCCAUUUCCUUCUCCAGGGGAUCUUCCUAACCCAGGGAUUGAAACAGUGCCUUCUGUACUGGCAGGCAGAUUCUUUACCACUGAGCCACCUGGGAAGCCCCAUAUCGUUCGUGUUCCAUAGCUAUGUCUUUCUUUUAAAGGUUCUGUUUAAAAGAACCUCUCUGUAUACAAUAUCGUAAAGUUAAAAAUUAAAAAUACAUAUAUUAAAAAAAACAACUUCUCUGUCCUGCUUCAGAGGGAUCAGCAUGUGCAGAGGCUUGGAGGAGGGUAUGCAGGACACCUGAAGUCCUUUACCACAAAGUCCCAAGGGAGAAGGAUUCAUGUUAGGCCUUUAUCCUGGGGGGGACGGGGUGGGGCAUGAGUUGGGGAGACAUGAUUGGAGGAGUGACUCGAUCUGACAAGAAUCCCUUUUGGGACUUCCCCAGUGGUCCAGUGGUUAAGCGCCCACCUUGUAGUGUGGGGGAUGCAAGUUUGAUCCUUGGAUGGGAAAAUACGACCCCUUGUGCCGAGAUGCAAAUAAGCCCGAGUGCCACAACUGCUGAGCCCACAUGCUCUGGAGCCCACAAGCCACAGGGAAAAUCCCCUAUGCCUCAAGUAAGACCUGACAUAGCCAAAUAAAUACAUUUAAAAAAAGAACAUCCGUUUGACAUCCACGUGGAGAAGGG
ensembl:lncRNA